AGAAGCCGUGUGAGGUGAAAGUCUCACGCACGGUUUUGAAGACCAACAGGCCUUAUAAAGGGUAAUCUGGAAAUAGGCUUGUUGAGUUUAAC
rnacentral:ncRNA from 1 species